rnacentral:rRNA from 1 species
GCUCCAAUAGCGUAUAUUAAAGUUGUUGCGGUUAAAAAGCUCGUAGUUGGAUUUCUGUCGAAGACGGCCGGUCCGCUCUAUGAGCGUGUAUCUGGUUCGGCUUUGGCAUCCUCGUGGGGAACGUAACUGUGCUUAAUUGCAUGGUGCGGAAUUCACGACUUACUUUGAGGAAAUUAGAGUGUUCACGGCAGGCAAGCGCC